CAGUAAAAAACUCUAAAACAGCAACAGUAAAAUAUUUUUUAAAGCUAAAUAGUAUAUCACCGUAUUGCAUACAUUAAAUUACCAUAAUUUAAGAAACAGUACAUACAUUUUAUUUUUACUCUCUUAAUAUGUAAAAAACACAGAUUCUUACAGUAAAAUUUUUAAUUUUUGGUGAAAUUAAUGGGAAAAUACUGGGCCUUUACAAACAAGGAAUUACCUUAAAAACAAUGGUAUUAUUCUGUGCAAAUUACACAUUUUCUUAAUGUGUACUGUAGAAUAUACAAUAUAAAACUGUUUAAAAUCCAACAAACACAUACCUUAAAUCCUACAGUAACAAGAUGUUAAACAUAUGUUUAUCUUUUUGUCAAUUUUAGUUAAAACUUUAAAUACUCUGUAAUUUACUGUACUUUUGUGUAUUGUUCUUUUAUUUAUCUAAUCUGAUAGUUAAUGCUAAUUGCAAUGAAAACAAAACGAAUGUCUUGAAGAAAGUCAAGAAAUAAUUUUAUCAUAGCUAUUCUAAAAAGAUAUUUUCCACCUUAUUUCAUAAUUACCACAACUAGACUAUGAAUAGGAUGAACAAAGCAAAAAUGUUCAAACAAGAAAAAAACUUGACCAUUUUAAAACAAUUAUGAAACUGUGUUUUUAUUAGUGGUGCUUGCGAAAUGGCAUUUGAAAUAAUAAUAAAAAGCGUGAACAAACGAAGAAACACACAAGAGGAAGAAGAUCGUCUCCCCGCUUCUAAGAUUAGGCCUGUGAAUUGCGCAGCGCGACCUGCAUGCGGCAAGUGGUGAGUACUCCUUUGGCUACUUUUUCACGGGGUAAUUUGCAAAUUGCAAAGCUAAAGUAACAGAUUAUCGUGCACUGCUAACGCAAAGUGUAAUUCUGAUGCCUUGUCAACUUGCAUUUAAGCUUGCGUUUUCAAAUCACUUAAAUUAAGGUUACGUGGUAACUCGCUAAUGAAAAAUGUGCUUAAAAACUCAUACACUGCUAAUGCGAAGUGUACUUUUGACGUCUUUUAAUCUUCUUUUAAUCCAUUUCUUGGCUUACUUUUAAAAAUGCUUAAGAGAGCACGACAAUUCAUUAAUAACGUUAACGGUCGAUGUCGUUUUAUAUUUCAAUCAGCGCCAUUUUAGCGCGCCAAGCAGCUGCUUUUGGAAUACCAUCCUCGUCCAUCCUUUUGAUUUCUGGGAGUUCAACAUUUCUUUUCGAGGUAAGCCAAACAAUACUGUUACAAACUAAAAAGUUAAAGUUAUUUAUUUUCCUUUCGUUGUUGUUAUUUAACCAGUUUUGGCUAUGUUUAGUUGCAAUUUCUGUGGCAAGUCGGUCAAAUCAUUGAGGGGGUAUGUACUUCAUUUUAAACUUCAUCGACUUCAUGUGACAUCAAAGAGUGGUGAGAUUUUUAAUUACUUUUAAAGACAUAUUUUUGCCAUAUAUGCUUUGUUGAACUUUUUGUUGAAUUUGGUCUUAUUCAGGAACAAAUGUAUUUUCUUUUAUCUCCUUUUCUUAUGUUACAAGAGGCUGUAUGCGACAGGGACCUCAUCAAUCUCUUUUUCUUGUGAGUCUAUUAUUUGGAUUAGAUACGUUAAUUAAUACAUUAAUUCCUUAACUUUUAACCAAAAAUGUUAUUGUAUUGAAAAUACUAAUAAAUUAUCCCUUUCCUUAACUUGGCACAGCUGGAAAAUUCACAGGAUUGGCAAGUUUCUGAGCUUUAAGGAUCAUGUCAACACCUGAUCAUUGUAACCUGUCUGCAAGAGACUCUGUCCCACCUCUCUUCAGUCAAGUCUGGACCCAGUAAUUCAGACACCUCAAGGAUAAUUAAUGAAAGAUGAAGAAAAUGGCAGUCCAUGAAGUACUACAUUUCCAGUUUCUCGAACUGAUUUAGUGCCAUGUCUUCAGUCAGGUGUGGACUUAUUAUUAUUGUUCAAACAGAGCAAGUGGCCCUGGUUUACUUUUAUAUAUGGACACAUUUUAUUUCCAAGCUCAACAUUGUGAGUACACUGCAAGUUAUUGAAUCAGCUCAAACUGUUUUAACACAGUGUCAGUAUGCAAAAACGGGUUUUUUUUUGCAUACUGUUAAUGAUCUGUUAAUGAUAAUUUGUGUGUUGAUUGACUGCAUUUAUUACCUCAUUUAGUAAUUUACAAUAACCUGACUGACUGUUGUAAAAUCUAUGGCAACCACUUGUAAUGCCUUUUGUGUUAUACCGUAUUUUUUGCGAUGAAAUUCUGGCAACCACAGCUGCCAGUAAUUUUCUGUAAAAUUGAAGUUUACAAUAAAAUACUAUAAUAUUUCAUACGGUUGAAUUGUGUUUAUUACGGAGAUAGACUAUAAUUACUAUUAAAGAAAUUUACACUUGCAACUGCUAUUUUUAAAGUAAAUCACUGUAAACAGGUUUACAUUACAUCUGUUUUAUUUAACAGUAGUGUACCGUAAACAAGCAGCAAUUCGCUACUGUAAAAUUUACGGUUGCAAAAAAGCAUUCUGUAAAGUGUUCCACAUUGUAACCUUAUAUUUUACGGUGAACUUCUGGCAACCACAGCUGCCGGUAUUUUACCGU